rnacentral:rRNA from 1 species
CGUGAGGGAAAGGUGAAAAGAACCCCGGGAGGGGAGUGAAAUAGAACCUGAAACCCUGCACUUACAAGCUGUGGGAGCACAUUACUUGUGUGACCGCGUACUUUUUGUAGAACGGGCCAACGAGUUACGUUAAGUAGCAAGGUUAAGCACUUAAGGUGUGGAGCCGUAGCGAAAGCGAGUCUUAAAUGGGCGAUUAAGUUACUUGGCGUAGACCCGAAACCGGGCGACCUAUCCAUGAGCAGGUUGAAGCGAAAGUAAAAUUUCGUGGAGGACCGAACCCACGAGCGUUGAAAAGCUCGGGGAUGACUUGUGGAUAGCGGUGAAAUUCCAAUCGAGCCCGGAGAUAGCUGGUUCUCCCCGAAAUAGCUUUAGGGCUAGCCUCAAGCGUAGAGAAACGGAGGUAGAGCACUGAAUGUCCUAGGGGGUAUUGCACUUACCGAAGACUAUCAAACUCCGAAUGCCGUUUUCUUUUACUUGGGAGUCAGACUGUGGGUGAUAAGAUUCAUAGUCAAAAGGGCAACAGCCCAGAUCGUCAGCUAAGGUCCCUAAAUGUACGUUAAGUGGUAAAGGAUGUGGGAUUGCACAGACAACCAGGAUGUUGGCUUAGAAGCAGCCACUCAUUUAAAGAGUGCGUAAUAGCUCACUGGUCGAGUGAUCCUGCGCCGAAAAUUUCCGGGGCUAAAACGUACUACCGAAGCUACGGCAUCAUUUAUGAUGGGUAGGGGAGCUUCGUAUGCAGGCUGAAGCAUGACCGUAAGGACAUGUGGACAGUAUACGAGUGAGAAUGUUGGCAUGAGUAGCGAGACGUGGGUGAGAAUCCCACGGGCCGUAAACCCAAGGUUUCCAGGGGAAGGUUCGUCCGCCCUGGGUUAGUCGGGACCUAAGCCGAGGCCGAAAGGCGUAGGUGAUGGACAACAGGUUGAUAUUCCUGUACCGCCAAUAAGCGUUUGAGAGAUGGAGUGACACAGUAGGAUAAGCUAACCGUACUGUUGGUUAUGUACGGCUAAGCAUUGAGGCAGUCUAAAUAGGCAAAUCCGUUUAGACAAUGCUAGGAUGUGAUGGGGAAGCCCUUCGGGGCGAAGUAGCUGAUUUCACACUGUCAAGAAAAGCUUCUAUCGAGUUUAAAGGCGCCCGUACCGUAAACCGACACAGGUGGGUGAGGAGAGUAUCCUAAGGCCAGCGAGAGAACUAUUGUUAAGGAACUCGGCAAAAUGACCCCGUAACUUAGGGAGAAGGGGUGCCUGUCUAUGACAGGCCGCAGAGAAUAGGCCCAAGCGACUGUUUACCAAAAACACAGGUUUCUGCUAAGUCGCAAGACGAUGUAUAGGAGCUGACGCCUGCCCGGUGCUGGAAGGUUAAGGGGAUCUGUUAGAGCAAUCGAAGCAGUGAACUUAAGCCCCAGUAAACGGCGGCCGUAACUAUAACGGUCCUAAGGUAGCGAAAUUCCUUGUCGGGUAAGUUCCGACCCGCACGAAAGGCGUAACGAUUUGGGCACUGUCUCAACAAUAGACUCGGUGAAAUUGUAAUCCCGGUGAAGAUGCCGGGUACCUGCGACAGGACGGAAAGACCCCAUGGAGCUUUACUGUAGCUUGACGUUGGGUCUUGGUACUACAUGUACAGGAUAGGUGGGAGACUAUGAAGCAUGGACGCCAGUCUGUGUGGAGUCAUCCUUGGGAUACCACCCUUGUAGUACUGGGAUCCUAACCAUAGGCCUUGAAUCAGGUCUUGGAACACCGUCAGGUGGGCAGUUUGACUGGGGCGGUCGCCUCCUAAAAAGUAACGGAGGCGCUCAAAGGUUUCCUCAGCACGGUCGGAAAUCGUGCGAAGAGUGUAAAGGCAAAAGGAAGCUUGAUUGCAAGACAUACAGGUCGAGCAAGGACGAAAGUCGGACUUAGUGAUCCGGUGGUACCGCAUGGAAGGGCCAUCGCUCAACGGAUAAAAGCUACCCUGGGGAUAACAGGCUUAUCUCCCCCAAGAGUUCACAUCGACGGGGAGGUUUGGCACCUCGAUGUCGGCUCAUCGCAUCCUGGGGCUG